GGUGACAGGAAGACAGGUGGUGCAUGGUUGUCGUCAGCUCGUGUCGUGAGAUGUUGGGUUAAGUCCCGCAACGAGCGCAACCCUUAUUGUUAGUUGCUACCAUUUAUUUGAGCACUCUAGCGAGACUGCCCGGGUUAACCGGGAGGAAGGUGGGGAUGACGUCAAAUCAUCAUGCCCCUUAUGUCUAGGGCUACACACGUGCUACAAUGGCUGGUACAGAGAGAUGCUAAACCGCGAGGUGGAGCCAAACUUUAAAACCAGUCUCAGUUCGGAUUGUAGGCUGAAACUCGCCUACAUGAAGCUGGAGUUGCUAGUAAUCGCGAAUCAGAAUGUCGCGGUGAAUACGUUCCCGGGCCUUGUACACACCGCCCGUCACACCAUGAGAGUUGGCAAUACCCAAAGUUCGUGAGCUAACCCGUAAGGGAGGCAGCGACCUAAGGUAGGGUCAGCGAUUGGGGUGAAGUCGUAACAAGGUAGCCGUAGGAGAACCUGCGGCUGGAUCACCUC
rnacentral:rRNA from 1 species